rfam:Pan troglodytes isolate Yerkes chimp pedigree #C0471 (Clint) chromosome 11, whole genome shotgun sequence.
GCCAGGCAUGGAGGUGCAAGCCUGUAGUCCCAGCUACUUGGGAGGCUGAGAUGGGAGAAUCACUUGAGCCCAGGAGUUUGAGGCUGUAGUGAAUUAUGAUUGCAUCACUGCACUUUCGUCUGGGCAACAGAGCAAGAUCCUAUCCUU